GUGCUUGCUUCAGCAGCACAUAAACUAAAAUUGGAACAAUACAGAGAAGAUAAGCAUAGUCCCUGUGCAAGAAUGGCAUGCAAAUUCAUGAAAUGUUCCAUAUAGUU